GUGUAUCUAAUAUCUCUUCUUCAUACUUAUCCUUAUCUAUUGCUCAAAUGCAAUCGAUUGCAGAACAAGAGAUGAAAGAUUCAGAUGAGAGGAAUUAAAAGCAAGCGUAAUAGAGAAGAAGGUCAUUCUAUCAACCCUUUAAUCAAUCACCUUAGCCCUAUCAAUACACGUACUAAUCCAAUGUUUCAACCCACUACCAACGGAUCUGAGAUAGCAAUUGAGUAUAAUAAUCCUCCCGUAGAUAAUAGCAUGGAAUACCAACUCAAUCAUGAUGUGGAAAACAACUCAAGAGCAUUUGAUAGCCGGAAUCUGCACGCUUGGGGGAUACACAGAACCACUAUGGAAUACCUAAAAACUCUCAUCAGGGAACUACGGAGGCUGCAAAUAUUCUACAGGGAUAGCUCGAGAUCCAAAAUAAGUCGAAUGCCUUGCAAUCCUUGAUGCUUCCAUGUGGGCCAAGACUAUGAAUUUGGAAGUGAUUUGCAUCAAAAGUAAUGCCAAGAAUGCAGUUUCUUGUUUCAAGAAUAAGAGUAACCAGAUUAGCUGGUUCAGUAGUUCUAUAUUAGAUGAUUUUAUUUUCAUUUUAGAAUCUUUUUCUUUCCAUUCAGUUAGUCAUAUUAAUAGGAAUUCAGAAUUUUUACCUAUGGUUGAUGCUGCUGCAAAAUACAGCAGACGACAUAACAGAUCUGGAGAAUGGAUGGUAUCAAUGCCUCCUUUCCUCAACCAAAUGUAAUCUGUUUUAUUUUUUAAUUAAAGUUUUAUUUCCUAGCAAAAAAAAAAA